rnacentral:lncRNA from 1 species
CUAGCAUGAAACAGAUUCUACUAUGGCCGGGUACCAACAAUGCACACGAACAAAUGGAAAACCAGUGCGCACCCGUCUGUACUAUCACUAACAUAAGCAAAAUUCACUAUAUUUGCCCAAGUUACAUAAUUUUAACCAGAGCUUAACGAUCACUGCUGCUGUCGUUAUCGUCGACCUCACAUCUCGCAAAGCAGCGAUGAAAGUCCGAUGCAC